AACUUUUUUAUUUAGAACAAGGGACAGAAGCGCGGGGCUUUCUGGGACGGAUUUUUGGUGCAAGCUCCUCUUCAAAUCAAUGCAAAUUAGCACAACAUAAUUAGCACAACAUUUUGGUCCUUUUUUUUUGGUUUUUUUUGUUUUUUUUUGUGGUCAAGGCCCUGCUGCGGGGACGACGUCCCCGGCUCUGCGGUGUCCUGUGAGGAGGGCAGGGGGGUGUUGGGGCCGGUGCCCCCCAGGCAGGGCUGGGGUCUCCCCGGCGGUGGGAUGGGUGCUUGGGCACCCGGCGCCCCCUCCCCACGUGUGGGCAAUGAGGUUCUCUGACCGUAAUUUGGGGUGUUGCAGACCGGAGGGGACAAGAGGCUUGAAACGGAGCGAGGGAUGUGGCUGGGGACACAGCGGUGACCCUGCCUGGGGGGGCCACGUGCCGGACCCCCCCACCUCAGAGCCAGGGGCACCGCGGUGCGUGGAGGUGGGCGAGGGGCUCGGGCACGCAGCAGGCAGCAGCGGGGCGCAGGGGGGCUCGGGGGGGCAGCAGGGCGAAGGGGGGGCCCUCCAGGGGCUGCCAGGGAGCCGGAGGGGGGCUUCCACGGGGGGCCAGGCCUGCGGGACGGCACACGGGGCUCCGGCAGUGGGGCCAGGGGCACCCACCCCACUGCAACCCCCCCAUGGGGCCGGGGCCAGGCAGGGAGGGGGAGCAGCUCCCCCCACCCUCCUGCAGCCCCUGGGACCCCGCAGGGCACCGGGGGCUCCCCCCCUGGCCGUGCCCGGGGGUCCCAGCCCCCGGCACCCCCUGCCCCGUGGCCCUUUUACCGCAGCGAGCGUCGUCCCAGGGGCUGGAGGCGCAGAAGUGCAGCGGGGCCGGGGGGGCCGGGGGGGUGCUGAGGCGGUGGCUGUGGCCCUGGAGGGUCUCCAGCGAGCUGGGGGGGGCGGGCAGGAGGUGCUGCGAGGGGAGCAGGGAGGGGGGCAUCACCGAGCUGCCCGGGGUUGCAGCGGGAGCACGGCACGCUGCGGGGGGCUCGCGCCCUCGGGGGCAGCUCCUGGAGCAUCCACCCUGGGGGGGGGACACACUGGAGACCCCCAUCUCCCGCACGUCCCAGCCCCCCGAGGUGCAGGAAGAGGCCCGGACCCCCUCCUACCUGCGCAGAGAUGGGGGCUGUCACGGCGGGGGGGGGCAGGAUCCAGUCGCACCAGGAGCCUGCGCGGGGAGAGCGGGAGGGCAGCGUGGAGACCCUGCUUUGGGGCUGGGGUCUCCCGUUCCUGGGGGGCACAGCGAGCAGCCGUGCCCCCUCCCCCGCCCUGGGUGCAGCCGUGCUCCCCCCCAGGGCAGCCCCCAGCCCCUGCCCGGGGUUUUGGGAGGGGGUCCCGUCCCCGUCCCCUCCGCCCGGGGCUGUCACCUGCACCGCCGGCCUCCAGCCUCUGCUUGGCCUCCCGCCGCCACUUGGCCCUUCUGUUUGAGAACCAGACCUGGGAGAGGAGGGAGGGGGUGAGGCUGUGCUCCCCCCCCCGGGGAUGGGCUCUGGGCAGAGCCCCCUCCCUCGGUCACGCUGGGCUGGGGACCUGGGGCUCUGCCCAGGGCCAGCCGGGUGGGGGGAGCCCCUCCAGGGCACGGGGGCUGCUGCCACGGAGCAGCCUGGGGGUGUCCCCCCCCCCAGCACCCGGUCCUUGCCCCCGUCAGACAGGGGAGGGCAGGAGAAGCAGGCAGGUACCGACGGAGCAGCCCUGCCCCUCUCCUGGGGACAAAACCUGCUCCUGGGGGUCCCCCCCUCUCCAUUCCGG
ensembl:lncRNA